rnacentral:rRNA from 1 species
CGUGGGUAACCUGCCCAAGAGAUCGGGAUAACACCUGGAAACAGAUGCUAAUACCGGAUAACAACAGAUGAUGCCUAUCAACUGUUUAAAAGAUGGUUCUGCUAUCACUCUUGGAUGGACCUGCGGUGCAUUAGCUAGUUGGUAGGGUAACGGCCUACCAAGGCGAUGAUGCAUAGCCUAGUUGAGAGACUGAUCGGCCACAUUGGGACUGAGACACGGCCCAAACUCCUACGGGAGGCAGCAGGG